rnacentral:rRNA from 1 species
AUUGAACGCUGGCGGCAGGCCUAACACAUGCAAGUCGAACGAGCGGCGGACGGGUGAGUAAUGUCUGGGAAACUGCCCGAUGGAGGGGGAUAACUACUGGAAACGGUAGCUAAUACCGCAUACCAUCAGAUGUGCCCAGAUGGGAUUAGCUGGUUGGUGGGGUAAAGGCUCACCUAGGCGACGAUCCCUAGCUGGUCUGAGAGGAUGACCAGCCACACUGGAACUGAGACACGGCCCAGACUCCUACGGUAGGCAGCAGUGGGGAAUAUUGCACAAUGGGCGCAAGCCUGAUGCAGCCAUGCCGCGUGUAUGAAGAAGGCCUUAGGGUUGUAAAGUACUUUCAGCGGGGAGGCGUUACCCGCAGAAGAAGCACCGGCUAACUCCGUGCCAGCAGCCGCGGUAAUUC